rnacentral:rRNA from 1 species
GUAGUCUCGCACAGAUGCAUAUCAAUAAGCGGAGGAAAAGAAACUAACAAGGAUUCCCCUAGUAACGGCGAGUGAAGCGGGAAGAGCUCAAAUUUGAAAUCUUAAAGGGUUUCCCUUUACGAAUUAGUAGUUUAAAGAAGUGUUUUCUGUUGAGGUUUUGGUAAAAGUUCUUUGGAAUAGGACAUCAUAGAGGGUGAGAAUCCCGUAUUUGACCUUUACUUUCAACUUUGUGAUACACUUUCAAAGAGUCGGAUUGUUUGGGAAUGCAGUCCAAAAUGGGUGGUAAAUUUCAUCUAAAGCUAAAUAUUGGCGAGAGACCGAUAGCGAACAAGUACCGUGAGGGAAAGAUGAAAAGAACUUUGAAAAGAGAGUUAAACAGUACGUGAAAUUGUCAAAAGGGAAGUGUUUGACACCAGUGUUGUUUUUCUGAAAAUCAAUUAAAGAACUGUUUAUGCUAAGCUGUUUAGACUUUAUCAGCUAUCUGUUUAGUUUUGAGCUUUUCUUUAAUGCACUUUUCAGUUAACAAGUCAACAUCAAUUUCUUUUGCUGUAAAAAAGCUUGAGGAAGGUGGCUUGAGAUUCGUCUUAAGUGUUUAUAGCCUCUUGCCUAUGCAGUCGGAGAGAUUGAGGUCUGCAGCGUAGAUCCUUCGGGGCUAAAUGCAUUUGUGCUAAGUUAUAGCAUUUUAUAGACAACUUGUUGACUAUGAUUUGUCUUGUAGCUUACUCGCUUAUGUUAUUUUACCUACGCUUAGGAUGUUGAAGACUCUACAGAGAUA